rnacentral:rRNA from 1 species
CCUACGGGUGGCAGCAGUAGGGAAUCUUUCACAAUGGGCGAAAGCCUGAUGGAGCAACGCCGCGUGCAGGAUGAAGGCCUUCGGGUUGUAAACUGCUUUUAUAAGCGAGAAAUAUGAUGGUAACUUAUGAAUAAGGAUCGGCUAUCUACGUGCCAGCAGCCGCGGUCAUACGUAGGAUCCGAGCAUUAUCCGGAGUGACUGUGUGUAAAGAGUUGCGUAGGUGGCAUAAUAAGUAGCUAGUGAAAUCUGGUGGCUCAACCAUUCAGACUAUUAGCUAAACUGUUAAGCUCGAGACCGUUAGGGGUAACUGGAAUUUCUAGUGUAGGAGUGAAAUGCGUAGAUAUUAGAAAGAACACCAAUAGCGUAGGCAGGUUACUGGGACGGUUCUGACACUAAGGCACGAAAGCGUAGGGAGCAAACGGGAUUAGAUACCCGGGUAGUC